UACGUAGGGCGCAAGCGUUGUCCGGAAUUAUUGGGCGUAAAGAGCUCGUAGGCGGCCUGUUACGUCUGCUGUGAAAUCCCGGGGCUUAACCCCGGGCGUGCAGUGGAUACGGGCAGGCUAGAGUUCGGCAGGGGAGACUGGAAUUCCUGGUGUAGCGGUGAAAUGCGCAGAUAUCAGGAGGAACACCGGUGGCGAAGGCGGGUCUCUGGGCCGAUACUGACACUGAGGAGCGAAAGCUAGGGGAGCAAACGGG
rnacentral:rRNA from 1 species